rnacentral:misc_RNA from 1 species
AUGGUUCUACAAUGGCGUCGUCGACCGCUCGCUGGUGCUUGCCAUCGACCCGGCCUAUUUCCGGCUGACCGGCGGCAUCGAACGCUGGCUGUAUCGCGUCGCGCGCNNNNNNNNNNNNCUGGCUGUUCGAGAUUGCGCAUCUUCACGCCAAGUCCGGCAGUCUCGCGCGUGUCUCCGAUUUCGCGCUCGACCUGCGCCGCAUCGCGGCGCGUCAGCCAUUGCCCGGCUACCGGCUUCAGAUCGAACGGGAUGACCACCGCGAACUGCUGCGCAUCUGGCCCGACAAACAAUCCACAGUGCCUGUUGAAAACCAUGUGAAUGGUAUCGGUACAUCAGGCGCACGCA